AUAGCCUUUUGAUGUUCUUGUAUUUUGCUCCACUUAAAUGAAGCCACCAGCAUUCACCAUAGUUGAAGGUAUCUAAUUUUGUAAAUGUUCUCAUUUUAUUGUUCUUGACAUUGGCAAAUCCUUUUGCAUUCCUGUGGAAAAUGCAAAGAUUCUAUAUGUUUGUUAGAAGGCUGCCAAAGUGGGCAUUAUUUUCUUUUUAGGAUGAUUCAACUUUCUGUGCAUAAAACUCUCUAACUCAAUUCAACUAAUCCUUAAUUCAAAACUAUUUGGAGUU
rnacentral:misc_RNA from 1 species